rnacentral:rRNA from 1 species
UGAAUACGAGAUGCUACGGCGUCGAAGCAGUCUAUGUCAUACUUCCAAGAAAAGCUUGCACUGUCAUAAACAAAUAAUGCCUGUACCAUAACCGACACAGGUGGGUAGGUAGAGUAUACUAAGGGGCGCGAGAUAACUCUCUCUAAGGAACUCGGCAAAAUGACUCCGUAACUUCGGGAGAAGGAGUGCCUUAUUUAUAAGGUUGCAAUAACAAGAUCCAAGCAACUGUUUACCAAAAACACAGGUCUCCGCUAAGUCGUAAGACGAUGUAUGGGGGCUGACGCCUGCCCAGUGCCAGAAGGUUAAAGAAGUUGGUUAGCAUCCGCGAAGCUGAUAACUGAAGCCCUGGUGAACGGCGGCCGUAACAAUAACGGUCCUAAGGUAGUGGAAUUCCUUGUCGGGUAAGUUCCGACCCGCACGAAAGGCGUAACGAUUUGGAUACUGUCUCGGAGAGGGGCUCGGUGAAAUAGACUUGUCUGUGAAGAUGCGGACUACCUGCACCAGGACAGAAAGACCCUAUGAAGCUUUACUGUAACCUGAAAUUGAAAUUGGACUUUACUUGCGCAGUAUAGGUGGGAGGCGUUGAGAAUAUUCUUGCGGGAUUAUUGGAGCCAUCAGUGAGAUACCACUCUUGUAAUGUUAGAUUUCUAACUUUGUAUCAUUAUCUGGUCAAAGAACAGUUUCAGGCGGGCAGUUUGACUGGGGCGGUCGCCUCCUAAACGGUAACGGAGGCGCACAAAGGUUUCCUCUGAACGGGUAGAAAUCGUAUCUAGAGUGUAAAGGCAUAAGGAAGCUUGACUGUGAGACCUACAAGUCGAGCAGGGACGAAAGUCGGUCUUAGUGAUCUGACGGUGCUGAGUGGAAAGGCCGUCACUCAACGGAUAAAAGUUACUCUAGGAUAACAGGCUGAUCUCCCCCAAGAGUUCACAUCGACGGGGAGGUUUGGCACCUCGAUGUCGGCUCAUCGCAUCCUGGGGCGGUAGUACGUCCCAAGGGUUGGGCUGUUCGCCCAUGAAAGUGGUACGCGAGCUGGGUUCAGAACGUCGUGAGACAGUUCGGUCCAUAUCCGGUGUAGGCGUUAGAAUAUUGAGAGGAGCCUUCUUUAGUACGAGAGGACCGAGAAGGACAUACCUCUGGUGUACCAGUUAUCGUGCCAACGGUAAACGCUGGGUAGCUAUGUGUGGAGUGGAUAACCGCUGAAAGCAUCUAAGUGGGAAGCCCACCUCAAGAUAAGUAA